ensembl:lncRNA
AUCACACAGAAGAAGAGGCGCUUCAUCCAAAACAGGGGGCAGUGAGUCCUCUGUCAUCAUUGUGGUUGAAGGAAGAGCAGACUCCACGGCCGUUUCUUUUUCCUUCAUUUUUCAAACAAAGAAGCUAAAGGAGAACCUCAGGCCCCCCAAAAAAAUCGCGUUCCUUGCAGGACUUUUCAAGACUUGGUGGACAGAUUUAUGUAAACAAAUCACUGUUCCUCCUUUGGUAACCUCAAUCCUGAGAGUGAACACGGGUCUCUCAUAGAUUUUUGCUCUUUCCAUCACUGUAGAAGUUUCAGACUGUGCUCAGCAAGACAUCACAAAAUUACUCAGCCAUAAAAAGAGGGAAAACAUGCCACUUGCAGUGACAGGGACGGGCCUAGAGAUUGUCAUAUCGAAUGAAGUGAGUCAGGUGGAGAAAGACAAAUGCUGUAUGAGAUCUCUUGUAUGCUGCUGCUGCUGCUGCUAAGUCGCUUCAGUCGUGUCUGACUGUGCGACCUCAUAGACGGCAGCCCACCAGGCUCCCCUGUCCCUGGGAUUCUCCAGGCAAGAACAUUGGAGUGGGUU